rnacentral:rRNA from 1 species
AACGAACGCUGGCGGCGCGUCUUAAACAUGCAAGUCGAACGGCAGGAAGGGGCUUGCCCCUUCUGAGAGUGGCGGACUGGUGAGUAACACGUGGGUGACAUACCUUUUAGUUGGGGAUAGCUAUUAGAAAUAGUAGGUAAUACCGAAUGUGACCGUACCUGUUAGAGGGGUACGAGGAAAGGAGCUAAGGCUUCGCUACAAGAAUGGCUCGCGGCCCAUUAUGCUCGUUGGUGAGGUAACGGCCCACCAAGGCGAUGAUGGGUAUCCGGCCUGAGAGGGUGAACGGACACAUUGGGACUGAGAUACGGCCCAGACUUCUACGGGAGGCAGCAGUUAAGAAUAUUCCGCAAUGGACGAAAGUCUGACGGAGCGACGCCGCGUGGAUGAAGAAUGCCGAAAGGUUGUAAAAUCCUUUUAAGCCUGAUGAAUAAGCACAGUAGGGAAUGAUUGUGCGGUGACCGUAGGGCUUGAAUAAGCACCGGCUAAUUACGUG